UACGUAGGGUGCAAGCGUUGUCCGGAAUUAUUGGGCGUAAAGAGCUCGUAGGCGGUUUGUCGCGUCGAAUGUGAAAACCCGGGGCUCAACCCCGGGCCUGCAUUCGAUACGGGCAGACUAGAGGUAGGUAGGGGAGACUGGAAUUCCUGGUGUAGCGGUGAAAUGCGCAGAUAUCAGGAGGAACACCGGUGGCGAAGGCGGGUCUCUGGGCCGAUACUGACGCUGAGGAGCGAAAGCGUGGGGAGCGAACAGG
rnacentral:rRNA from 1 species